rnacentral:rRNA from 1 species
UAGCCGUAAACGAUGAACACUAGGUGUUGCGGGUAUCGACCCCUGCAGUGCCGCAGCUAACGCGAUAAGUGUUCCGCCUGGGGAGUACGCACGCAAGUGUGAAACUUAAAGGAAUUGACGGGGACCCGCACAAGCGGUGGAACAUGUGGUUUAAUUCGAAGCAACGCGAAAAACCUUACCAGGACUUGACAUUGAUAGAACCUUGAUGAAAGUCGAGGGUGCCCUUCGGGGAACUUGAAAACAGGUGGUGCACGGUUGUCGUCAGCUCGUGUCGUGAGAUGUUGGGUUAAGUCCCGCAACGAGCGCAACCCUUGUCGUUAGUUGGUCAUAGCGGUAUACUUCUAUGUACCUCUCUAGCGAGACUGCCGGUGAUAAACCGGAGGAAGGUGAGGACGACGUCAAAUCAUCAUGCCCCUUACGUUCUGGGCUACACACGUGUUACAAUGGCUGGUACAACGAGCAGCAAACUCGCGAGAGUAAGCAAAUCUCUUAAACCCAGUCUCAGUUCGGAUUGCACUCUGCAACUCGAGUGCAUGAAGUCGGAAUCGCUAGUAAACGCAGAUCAGCACGCUGCGUUGAAUACGUUCCCGGGUCUUGUACACACCGCCCGUCACACCAUGGGAGUCGACCACGCCCGAAGUACGUGAGCUAACCUUUUGGAGGCAGCGUCCUAAGGCAGGGUUGGUAACUGGGGUG